GACGAACGCUGGCGGCGUGCCUAAUACAUGCAAGUUGAGCGCUGAAGGUUGGUACUUGUACCAACUGGAUGAGCAGCGAACGGGUGAGUAACGCGUGGGUAAUCUGCCUUUGAGCGUGGGACAACUUUUGGAAACGAAUGCUAAUACCGCAUAAAAUCUUUAAACACAAGUUUUAAGUUUGAAAGAUGCAAUUGCUUCACUCAAUGAUGAUCUCCCGUUGUAUUAGCUAGUUGGUGAGGUAAAGGCUCACCAAGGCGAUGAUACAUAGCCGACCUGAGAGGGUGAUCGGACACAUUGGGACUGAGACACGGCCCAAACUCCUACGGGAGGCAGCAGUAGGGAAUCUUCGGCAAUGGACGAAAGUCUGACCGAGCAACGCCGCGGGAGUGAAGAAGGGUUUCGGAUCGUAAAACUCUGUUGGUAGAGAAGAACGUUGGUGGGAGUGGAAAGCUCAUCAAGUGACGGUAACUACCCAGAAAGGGACGGCUAACUACGUG
rnacentral:rRNA from 1 species